GCUGGGCCAGCAGGACCCGGACCAGAGGGGCAUUUGGGGUGAGAUGAGCGCUGUCCCUCUGCUCCCAUUGCAGGCGGUGUGGGGUUGGAUGGAGCUGCUGGUGGGGGGGGCUGCUCGUGUGGAUGUGAUGUGGGGGAAAGUGACCCUGAGCACUAAAGGAAAAGGGGUGAAAAACGCUGUUUUUAAAGAUUCGGGAUGCCUUAAGCACGGAGAGCCCUGGCGCAGCCUAGGGAGCUGCAGGCAUUCGGAGCGAUUGGCGCAACCCCCCGCGGGAUGGAUGCUCGCGGCGCGGUCCCCGCCGUCGGGGCCGGCUCCCAUCGCACCGGCAGAGGGAGCUCCGGGCGCGUCCUCGGUGCGGGGGUCUGGGGGAGCUCCGCCGCUCCCGGGGUGCGGCUUUCCCCGCUCUGCGGUCGGGGCGGUGCCCGUCGGAGAGUCUCUGCCCCAGCGCGGGGUCGGGCCGGGGGGGUUCAUGGGGAUGUGCCGGGGAUUGGGACGAGCGGGGGCACGGCAGCGACUCCCCCCACCCCCCGAACCCAUCCCGAUGGCGCUGUGUGUGUUCGGGGACGGUGCAGGAUGCGGAGCGGGGAAAAUGGAAGGAGGCCCUGGGCCCUGCAGCGGGGUGGGGGUGCCGGGCAGGGCUCAGAGCUGCGGCCGAAGGAGGGCGGGGACCCCCUCCCGGAGGUACCGGGCUGCACGCUCCUCAGAGCGGCUUCUGCCGCCCUCGGCCGCUGCCACCUCCUCUGCCCUCUCGGAGCGAGGAGGGAAGGCGAUGCGAUUUCCCGGUGCCCCGCAUCCUCCCCCCUCCGCUUACCGCCUUUCCCUCUCCUGGAGCUGCAGUGCGUCCCGCCGGGCUCUGCCUCCGUCUAACGCCGCGCGGGACGCCGCCCUCUCCUCCAGUGCUCUGCACUCCCGACCCCGUCCCAGGGGAGCAUCACCUCCCGACCCCCCACCCCACCGGUCCGGUGCGCCCCGUCCAGCCGCGCCGGGGGAGCGAACUGCCCGUCCAGCUGUGCCGCCCUGACGGACACGCACGGCGGCCAAUGGGGAAGCGCGGAGGGGCUGGGGGUGAGCUCCUAUUGGCCGCGGGAGGAGGAGGAGCCGGGACUUGAAGUUGGAGUGAGGGAUCCAGCUGUGCGGAGCGCACGGCUCGGCGCGGCCGCCCGCGGGAGCAUCCUCCGGCGGCAGCAGCCCCGGCCCCGGGCAGAUGGUGGGGCGCGGAGGGGGCAGGCGCAGCCCCUAAGGCGGCCCGCCC
rnacentral:lncRNA from 1 species